AUGGAAGUGGCUUUAGCUAGCGCUGCCUUAAGCGUUAGCUUAAAAUUGGCCGCGUCACCACUCUUGAAGAAGCUCCUUGCUAAUGCUUCAACAUGCCUUGGAGUGGACAUGGCACACGAGCUCCGUGAACUAGAGACCACUAUCUUUCCACAACUCAAGCUGUUGACUGAAGCAGCAGACAAGGGAAACCACAGGCUGAAUUUGGACAAAUGGCUUCAGGAACUCAAAGAAGCACUCUACCUGGCCGAAGACUUGCUGGACGAGAGUGAUUACAACCUCCUCAAGCGCCAAGCAAGGGGGAAGGAUUCCUUGCAAGCCAAUGCCUCCUCCAUCAGCAACACUCUAAUGAAGCCUUUGCGUGCUGCAUCAAGCAGGCUGUCCAAUCUGCGCUCCGAGAACAGAAAGUUAAUUCGUCAUCUUAAGGAAUUGAAGGCUACCCUAGCGAAAGCCAAGGACUUCCAUCAACUCCUGUGUUUACCUGGUAGUUAUAAUGCAGAGAGCCCUGCCAUACCAUCAGCUCAUGUUCCUGAGACCACAUCAGCACCACCUUUCAAAGUGAUUGGUCGUGAUAAUGAUCGCGAUCAUAUAAUACAUCUUCUUACCAAAACAUCUGCUACUACUGAGUCUAGUACAACAAUGUACUCAGGUUUGGCCAUUGUUGGGGCUGGAGGGAUGGGAAAGUCCACCUUGGCACAGCUUGUCUAUAAUGAUGAGAGGGUAAAAGGAUGUUUUGAUGUGAGAAUGUGGGUAAGCAUCUCACGCAAACUUGAUGUCCGCCGUCAUACACGGGAGAUCAUCGAGUCUGCCUCUAAGGGGGAAUGCCCACACAUUAAUAACCUUGAUACCCUGCAGUGCAAGUUGACAGAGAUACUCCAGGCAUCAAGAAAAUUCCUGCUUGUGUUGGAUGACGUUUGGUUUGAACCUGGCAGUGAGAAGGAAUGGGACCUACUGUUGGCUCCUCUUGUUUCCCAACAGACCGGAAGCAUAGUUUUGGUAACUUCUCGACGGGAUAGAUUUCCAGCUGCUCUCUGCUGUGAAGUGUGUCCUCUGGAAAACAUGGAAGAUACUCACUUCUUGGCACUCUUCAAGCAUCACGCAUUCGCUGGACAAGAAAUCAGAAAUCCACUACCAUGUGAAAGGCUCGAAGAUUUUGCAGAGAAGAUUGCUAAAAGGCUUGGACAAUCUCCUUUGGCAGCAAAAGCUGUGGGUUCCCAGUUGAAAGGGGAAACAGAUAUAUAUGCAUGGAAGGAUGCUCUUAAUAUAAAGAUUGACAACUUAACUGAUCCGAUGAGUGCUCUGUUGUGGAGUUAUGAGAAGUUAGAUCCACGUCUGCAGAAGUGCUUCCUAUAUUGCGGCUUGUUUCCAAAAGGCCACAAGUAUUUAAUUGAUGAGUUAGUUCAUCUUUGGAUGGCAGAGGGUCUCAUUGAUUCGUGCAACCAAAACAAGAGAGUGGAAGAUAUUGGGAGGGACUGCUUCAAGGAGAUGAUCUCUGUUUCAUUCUUUCAACCAGUUAAUAAGAAAUACUAUGCUAUGCAUGAUCUCCUUCAUGAUCUGGCAGAAUUACUCAGCAAAGGGGUCUACUUCAGAUUGGAAGAUGAUAAGGUGACAGAAAUACCAUCCACUGUUAGACAUAUCUCUGUUCGUGUUCAUAGUAUGACGCAACACAAGCAAAGUAUCUGCAACCUAAAUCAUUUACGCACUAUGAUCUGCAUAGACCCUCUAAUGGAUGAUGUAAGUGACCUUUUUAGUCAGAUACUACAGAAUUUGAAGAAAUUGCGUGUACUACAUUUGUCAUCUUAUGGCAGUAGUAAGUUGCCAGAAUCUGUUGGUGAGUUGAAGCACCUUCGGUAUCUGAACAUCAUCAGAACACUGAUUUCUGAAUUGCCAAGAUCAUUGUGUACUCUUUACCACUUGCAGUUACUUCUGGUAAAUGAUAAAGUUGAGAGUUUGCCUGGUAAACUCUGCAACUUAAGGAAGUUACGACAUCUUGACUGGUAUGAUUAUGGAACAUAUGAUUCAAACAGAAAAGCAGCGCCUCAAAUUCCUAACAUUGGCAAGCUAACUUCGCUUCAACAAGUUAAGAAAUUUUCUUUGCAAAAGAAAAUGGGAUAUGAAUUGCAACAGCUGAGGGAUCUGAACGAGAUCCGUGGCAGUUUAAGUGUCACAAAUCUUGAGAAUGUCACUGGGAAAGAUCAAGCCUUAGAAUCGAAGCUGCAUCAGAAAAGUCAUCUUGGCAGCUUGCGACUUGAAUGGUGUUGCCAGAAUAACACCAAUGCAGAGGAUAGUUUGCAUUUGGAGAUUCUAGAAGGCCUGAUGCCACCGCGUCAACUUGGGAGCCUUACAAUUGACGGUUACAAGUCUUCACAAUAUCCAAGCUGGUUACUUAACGGUUCUUAUUUUGAGAAUUUGGUAUCUUUAAGGUUUGCUAACUGUAGCGCAUUACAAAGCCUACCAUCCAAUACUGGGCUAUUUGGGAAUUGUUCUUCGCUUUCACUCAUCAAUGUGCCAAACCUGAAGGCAUUACCUUGUCUUCCACUAGGGCUUACAUAUUUAUGUCUGAGUAAUUGCCCACUGCUUAUAUUUACUUCCAACGAUGUGCUGGAAAAUAGUGACCAGAGAGAGAUCAUGAGGAUAGACCACUUGGCAUCACAGCUUGGUUUAAUUUGGGGGGUGGAUGCAGGAUCAGAUAUCAAGAGGGUACUCUCACGGGAACAUUCAUUUAUGAACCAGCUGAUGAUAUUUAUGCAUGCUGAUGUGUCAAAUGUUCAACACCUUGUAAGUGCUCUAAAAGGAGAGCAAGAUGAAAUAUUGGCAAAAGAGGAUAUCAUCAAGGCAUGGAUAUACUGUCACGAGCAGAGGAUGUGCCUCAUGUAUGGAAGGAGCAUUGUGCUGCCGCUGGUUUCACCAUCAGGACUUCGUAAUCUUUAUCUCUUCUCUUGCAGUAUUACAAAUGGAGCUUUAGCUGUAUGCCUUGAUGGCCUGGCUUCACUGGAAAGUUUGGACUUAAAUGAGAUCAUGACUUUAACUACACUUCCUUCGGAAGAGGUUCUCCAACAUUUGACAAAUCUUGGCCGUUUGUUCAUUGUAUAUUGCUGGUCUCUCAGGUCAUUAGGGGGCUUACGAGCUGCUACCUCUCUUUCACAUGUUCACUUGACUUCCUGCCCUUCUUUAGAGUUGGCAAGUGGAGCCAAAUGUUUGCCAUUAUCCAUUGAGAAGCUCUCUAUAUCCAGUUGUGUGCUUGCAGCUGACUUCCUCUCUACUGACUGGCCACACAUAAAUGAUAUUAGCAUAUACGAUUGCAGAAGCACCGCAUGCUUGUCUGUUGGUAGUCUCACCUCUGUUAAAUCAUUGGUACUGUAUAACUUGCCAGAUUUAUGUACACUUGAAGGAUUGUCUUCCCUGCAACUUCACAGUGUACAUUUGUUUGAUGUUCCGAAGCUCACCCCUGAGUGUAUCUCACAGUUUCAAGUCCAGUACUCACUCUUUGUUAGCAGUCCUGUAAUACUCAACAACAUGCUCUCGGCUGAAGGUUUCUCAGUUCCAGCAUUUCUCUCUCUUGAAGGAUGCAAGGAACCAAUUGUUUCAUUGGAAGAAUGCACAAAUUUCGCAGCAGUCAAGACCCUAAGAUUCUGUAAUUGUCAAAUGAUUUCCCUGCCAACAAAUCUGAAGUGCUUCUCCAAUCUGAAGAAGCUUGACAUCUAUGAUUGCCCCAACAUAUCAUCUUUACCAGACUUGCCAUCCUCCCUCCAGCACAUAUGUAUAUGGGGUUGUGAGCUAUUGAAGGAGAGCUGCCGAGCACCUGAGGGAGAAAGUUGGCCAAAGAUCGCGCAUAUCCGCUGGAAGGAAUUUAUAGUGUGA
rnacentral:rRNA from 1 species